rnacentral:misc_RNA from 1 species
AAUUCUCAACCCCGAUUGAUUUGUUUCUAUUCGGGUCUUGGACUUGGAGUGUGCUGGCGAAGGUCGGCUCCUCUCAAAUGCAUCAGCGGAAUUCAACCUUUGGCUUCCAGACAUCAGUGUGAUAAUGACGUUGCACUGUUGUCUGACCCUCAAAGUCCGCUUACAAUGGUCUUCGGACAAACCUUUCAUCAG